AUGGAACCAUCCGAGAUGGACUCUCUAAUAUUUUCUGGGAGGAAUCAAGGGACUCCAGUGCUGGAAGCAAGGCCCCUGGAGGACCUCAGGGUGGUGCUGACAGCCCUUUGUGACUCAGGGACUCACCGGUGUCCGCCCAGGCAGUUCCCCCUUUCUGUCGGCCUCAGGGAACUGCUCAGGAGAUCUUCUCAUGAGAGGAAUCCCGGCUGCUCCACAGACAGGUGCCAGCGUUCAGGCCCUGAGGCUGCCUCUGGCUCCACAAGUGUGGAUGUGCCCAGGCAGGUCUCAGGACGGAGCCUCGAGAAGCAGGAAAGGCCGUGUGGAUGGAGCCCCUGGGGACGGAGAGGAGGAGGAAGAUGGACUGGGUCGAGCAGAGGAGUCAUCUGAUUCACCGUACAGGACAACGUCCAGCCUUCACGCCGGGACGUCCUCCAGGGACGCCGUCGGGAGUCACAGGCUUCAGGAAGAUUUGAGAUGGGACUGGCUUAGUUUCAGUGGCUACAUGAUGCUCUCAGACCGUGAUAUGAGCUUUGUCGUGUCAUGGGGCAGUUGUAUCCGAUGAUUUGUAUGUCGUGCCUCGUGUGCCGUCCGUCUGGUUUCGUGUCAUGUUCCCCACUCAGCCAUAAAAACGAAUGAAAUAACGUCAUUCACAGCAACAUGGAUGCAACUAGAGAUUCUCACACUAAGCGAAGUUAGAAAGACAAACACCAUAUGAUGUCGCUUCUGUGGAAUCUAAAAUAUGUCACAGAUGAACCUGUCUGCGGAACAGAAACAGACUCCCAGACAUGGAGACCAGACUUGUGGUUGCUGAGGGGUCGGGCGGGGGAUGCAGUGGGGAGUUUGGGCUGAGUUGAUGCAAACUGUGACACUGAGAAUGGAUCAGCAGCGAGGUCCUGCUGUCCCGCACAGGGGACUCUGUGUCCAGUCACUUGUGCUGGAACAUGACGGAAGAUACCAUGCAGAAGUGUGUGUAUAGACGGAUGACGGCAUCACUUUCUUGUACAUCAGAAAUGGACAGAACAGUGUAAAUCCGUGAUAAUUUAAAAAUUAAAGAAAAAAAGAAAUUGACUGUGUCAAGAGACACGGACCAGGAGGUCCUCCCUCUGCAGGAACCAUUCCCGGGCAUCUGUUUCCAUCGCUGAGCAAGAUUUACUCAGACACGUGCAUUCUGAGUUUAGUCCUAUCCCAUGAUUUUCUUUAGAAAGUGCACCAACUGCCCUGUGGAAAGUAAAUGCAGCUGCCUUUUCCUAGUGUGUCCUGCUUAAAACAAUCUGGGACAAUCUGAAAUGACUUUAGCUCAGCAACAUCCAAUGUCCACCAGGCGGAGGACACUGAGACAUCAAACGAAUGGAACAGAGAUGUCGUUUCCGGUGCUGUCUGCCCACAGGUGGAAGGGGACUAGUGUCCUCCCGUCCCGAAGACCGAGUCUUCAGCAGGAACUUGACGGGUGUGGAAGAAACUCACUGG
rnacentral:lncRNA from 1 species